rnacentral:rRNA from 1 species
AUACGGAGGUGGUUAGCGUUGUUCGGAAUUACUGGGCGUAAAGCGCACGUAGGCGGACUGGAAAGUUGGGGGUGAAAUCCCGGGGCUCAACCCCGGAACUGCCUCCAAAACUUCCAAUCUAGAGAUCGAGAGAGGUGAGUGGAAUUCCAAGUGUAGAGGUGAAAUUCGUAGAUAUUUGGAGGAACACCAGUGGCGAAGGCGGCUCACUGGCUCGAUACUGACGCUGAGGUGCGAAAGCGUGGGGAGCAAACAGGAUUAGAAACCCCUGUAGUCC